GAGGGAGUUCUUCACAUUUCCCGUGUACAGGUACUUUUUUGAACUCAAACAGAGUAAACAUUUUGUUUUGAAGCUGAAUGGACUUAGUUUCAAAGCCUAAUUUUGGAAGUUCUUUAGCAAAAACUUCUCCACUCUUAUCAGAGAAUCUGCUUUUGAUUUCAGCAACCCAAAGUAAACCACCGACUUUAAGAAUACGAUAAGCUUCUUUCAAAAAAGAUUGCCAAUUGGUGCCCAUAAGACUUAAACAAAAUACAGCAAUAUCGACAGUUUCGUCAGCCAUUGGAACAUUCGCAAUAUCACAGGCUACCACAUGUUCAUUGGGAGCAACAAGGUCAAAGCUGUGCACUUGCAAAGAACGUGAUUUUCUAAAUGUAGAAGCUAUUUUAGCUUCUCCGCAACCGAGGUCAGCAAUUACAAUAUUGUUUUUCUUCUUUGCGUUUGAAUGCUCAAAUCUGAUCUUUAAAUGUUGAAUGAAAAUAUCAACAGGAUUUUCCGGCCAACCUUCAACUUGAUAUCGAAAACCAGCGUGAUAAAUAUCAAACAAAUCUGGAUUUUCCUUGAACAUUUGUACAGCUUUGUCACUUUCCGUAGUGUACAAUUGUUCAUUUAUCCAUCGAAAAUUGGCACCAUCUAGUUUAUCUUUCAUUUUUUGUUGAAGAGACGUUAACUUAGUAUGCUUAGCAUCCCCCUUGUUUUUCUCUUUAAUAGAAGGGACUGAUUUUUCUUUUUUAAUCUCGCUUUUCAGGGAAUUGUUUGUGGUAACCGACUUUGCCUUUUUUAAAACUUUUUCGUUGAGCUUUUCGCCUUUAUCUCCUACAUUCUUUCUCUCACCUUUCUUUCUUUUUUUUUCUUUUCUAGAUUCUUUCGUUUGGUCUGAUGCGCUUUUACUUACUGGACCUAAGUCCCAAUCUACUUUAAACAUGAAGUAGGGAAUAAGAUUAAAUUUGGUUG